rnacentral:misc_RNA from 1 species
UUUUUUUUUUUUCUCUUUUCUGCGUUUUCUCGUUAUCCAGAAUAAGUAUCGGUCGAGGAAGAUUCUCUCCUACUCUCGUUAGACGCACAGGUUGCAGCAGUUCACGAACACCUACCUGAGUGCAGACAGAGUGAGCCUGGGAGAAUGCCAGUCAUAACUGAUGCUUUGAUGAAGUCUAUUGCUUCCAAAGCUAGACCAUCUAUUUCUGAAUAUGAGAAGAAGAGGCCACAUGAUAUUUUAUUAUUUUUACCUAGUUCUUGGAUUCAAAGGAAUCCGCUACAGCUCAGGUCCCUCCCUUUCACUAGUAUCACAUUUCCAUUCACUUGUGUUCUGUUUAUGUUCAGCUUAGUGCUCAGUGCUAAUGAAGUAUUUGUUUGCAGAGGAGGGAUGCAAAAGGCAAAAGGGGAUGGUAAAUAACCAGAAAGAUGGAAUGAAUAGCAGGAUUUUAAGAAAAUUCAAUAAAAAAAAAGGAAAAUUUUCAGGGGUUGUAAUGGCUUUCUGUUUUAAACUCGGCACAUGUACUGCACAGUGCACACAAUGUAUUAAGAGUUCAUUGAAAAUGCUGGCUUAUCCUCUCAGCAACAAUGGAAAUCAAAUUCGAGCAAAACAAAGCAACUCCUUAAACACAAAAACAAUUUCCAGAUGGGACAAAAACUUACAAACUUGAAUAAAACAUCUCAAAAUAAAAUCAAAGCAAAAAGCUACACAUGCGGCGAUGGGCAAAGCACAAGGAUUGCAGUCCAACACACCAUCCAAAGCUAAAUGCAGCAUUUGGCCACACAACACCACUCCAUAAUUUGCCAGCUAUAAAGACCAGUAGCGAUCGAGAUAAGGUACGACGCAAGGUAGAAAUGUUGUUUUAGUAGAAUCAUCCUCCCAUACAACAUCUUUCCACCAUCGUUCCUCUGCUUCAAUCCUAACUUUGCCUCCAUUUGCGCUGCU